rnacentral:rRNA from 1 species
GUGUCAGCAGCCGCGGUAAAACGUAGGUGGCAAGCGUUAUCCGGAUUUACUGGGCGUAAAGCGUGUGCAGGCGGGCGGUCAAGUGGUGUAUGAAAGGGCCUGGCUCAACCGGGCUAUGUUAUGCCAGACUGACCGUCUAGAGGGCGAGAGAGGGGCGUGGAAUUCCGGGUGUAGUGGUGAAAUGCGUAGAGAUCCGGAGGAACCCCAGAGGCGAAGGCGGCGCCCUGGCUCGCACCUGACGCUCAGACACGACAGCAUGGGGAGCGAACGGGAUUAGAAACCCCAGUAGUCC